rnacentral:lncRNA from 1 species
CAUGCAUGGCACGGUGCACUGAUCAUGCCAUCUUACUAAGCCACAUUUACCUGAAGCAAAACCUAAGCCCUAGACUAAAAUUCUACCAGAUCUGGCUUCCUGUUAUAAGACUACUAAGUUCCUCUACCAACUUAUCAGUUUAUGCCAGCUGAUUAGAAAGAAGAUUAACCCACAUAAACCUCCAGUUUGACCUAACAAAUUGUUUGCAGGCUGAUCAUCAUCAAGAAACGUGAACAUGCAACAAAGAACGAACAACACUGCAAGGUUUAGGCAUCGUAGACGAAGAUACACAGUCACGCAGUCUCACCUAAAACUACAUUUCGCUGUUCUUCUUGAAUGGAAAUUAGUUGUACUUGGAGACGGCGGACGACCAUUUGGCACCUACCACUCGAUCGGUGGACAUUAAUCAAAUGAGAGCCUUUGCUUUGCCCCUUACGUCAAGCGCCGUAUCUUCCAAUCUGCGUGAUUUGCCUGCCGUCCAUUGCUGCUUCUAUGCUGCAAAAGAAUUCCACAAUAAGACGACACUUGGAGCUCUUUUCUGCAUCCGUCAUUGUUUAACAUCAGUCACGUCAGAGCCAUCAGUUUGCUAAGCUAAAGAAGCAACAACAACAAUUAUUUGCUUGUGUGUUCUCAAAGCUAGCCAUUCGAGUGCUUGUCCAAGGGUAGUGAUAGCUCUACAAUUACUUUGUUUUUUUGGACAUGUCGGGAGGUGAUGUUCCAUGACAUCAUCAAUUUGGUCAAAAACGAUGGGCGAUACUUGCAAAGAUGACCAGCGCCAACCGCAAAGGGGAAUAAUAAAGUUUAACUAUGACAACAUCGUGAAUUCUGUUGUAAUUUUUUUGUACUAAUUUUGUUGUGCUAUUAUUAAGAUACUCUUAUCACACUCUAAAAAUAACAUUCAUACAUUAAAAUUAUUGAGAGACGAAACUAUUUUAAACAAACACAUUUCAAUCAUCCGAAAUCAAAUAAGAUCCAUAAUAUAAGAUUGAAGAUACAAAAAUAAUUCAAUUAUCAUUCACACCCUAUAAAAUUUAUAUAAUUUUUGAAUCAUUCAAUAUGUCACUAGAUAAAUCCAUAAAUCCCAUAGUCAACUCAAAGAUGCUUAACAAUUACUUGUGAACUCACUAGAUCAAUUAAACACCAUAUCCAUAAUCCAGUCAUUUACCACAAUAUCUAUUUUCAUUUAUAAAAACAAACACCAAAUCAUAUUUUCUGACACCAUCAGAACCAAAAUAUUUCUUUAUUACAUAAGGAACAAAACAACGUUCAUAUAACUUGAGGCCAAUUUUUAGAGACAAAAACUCUACUAGUGUUUCACUUCUUACCCCUCUCUCAUGGCUGUUUGUGGCUCAUCGCUAACAGCAAGACGCCUCCCCCUUCAUGUCGGUAAGGAUCGUGCAUUCCCUCUGCUUUCAAAAGCUACCAGGAUUCUAAUCAGCAAGGCUGAGUUAUCUCAAAUCAAAGCAUCUAGGGGACUAUCUAACAAGGGAGGAGGUGCUAUUCUGAUCAAGAAUGUCCCCUUGGUCCCUACGGCGAGGUUGUGCGAGGAAGCAAACCCCAAUGUUCCAACUACUACCUAUCCGGCAUCGAUUUCUUCUGCAUAUUCAUAUAAGACUAUGAUGUCUUCUCGUGAGUCA